rnacentral:rRNA from 1 species
UACGUAGGGUGCAAGCGUUGUCCGGAAUUAUUGGGCGUAAAGAGCUCGUAGGCGGUCUGUUGCGUCGGCUGUGAAAACCCGAGGCUCAACCUCGGGCCUGCAGCCGAUACGGGCAGACUAGAGUUCGGCAGGGGAGACUGGAAUUCCUGGUGUAGCGGUGAAAUGCGCAGAUAUCAGGAGGAACACCGGUGGCGAAGGCGGGGAUCUCUGGGCUGUAACUGACGCUGGAGGCGCGGAAAAGCAUGGGGAGCGAACGGG